rnacentral:lncRNA from 1 species
AAACAGGUUUUGUCAAAACAUUCCAAAUGAGCUCAGAAAGAUCCUAUAUAUAUAAAUGAAAAAACUAAUUUUACUUUCAGGGCCUUAAAAUUUUUCUAAGGCAAGACAUGUAAGUGAGCUGGGUGUGGUAGUACACAGCUGUAAUCUCAGCCCUAGGGAGGCUGAGGCAAGAGGAUCCAGGAAGGCCAGCCUGAACUGCAUAGACCCUGUCUCCAAAAAAAAAGGACACAUUUAAGUGAAAAUCAGGGUUGGUGAUUAUAAAUCAAAGAUAUGUCUUCUAAGCCAAAUGAGGAACCUCAAUUGAACGGCUGCAGUUUCAAAAAUUAUCAGAUUUUUAGUUAAGGGAAAUGAAAGAUCAUUUGCUCAUCUGAUUCAGAUGGAAGUUUACUAUUGUGGAAGCACGGAUGUCAAACAUGUACUGCUAAGUCUAAUCCAGUUAAAAAUUCUGCCUCAAGGGACCUUUCUAACUUCUGUGGGUGUGUCAUGGGAACUGUCUAAGAUGUUGAGAAUGGAGAAAGUGGCUUAGAGUUAAUUGUAUAACCAGGCUUCAGAUCCUGACAGAAAUGAUAAAAAAUCCUUUCAAAUCUGAGAACUAAUGAGCUGUGUAGUGUCCAGGCAGUAUCCCCCGGAACCUUGAUACUUCGAGUCCAAAAUUCAAGUAAGCCAAUUACUUAAGAUAAUUCAGUGCAAAAUCUUGUUAAAACGUGGAAAUGACUUAAAUUUUAUAUUUUGGAGUAUUGUGGGUUGAACACAGGGUCAUUGCCUGAGCUACAUUCCCAGCUCUUAGUUUUUUAAAGUUUGAGACAGGGCCUUGCCAAGUUGCCCAUGCUGGCCUUGACCUUGUAAUCCUUCUGCUUUGGCCUCCCACAUUGCUAGGAUUAUAGGCAUGUGUUCACCACACUGGCUGAAAAUGACUAAUUGAAAAAGCACUAUUUUAAUAAGGAACUAUUUUAAUGUCUAGAGAUGGUUACAGCACAGUAGUUUUAAGAAUUUUUAACUUCAAGAAGAAACUGCCAGGUGUGAUGGUGCAUGUCUAUAAUCCCAGCACUUGGGAGGCUUAGGCAGGAGGAUUGCCGCAUGUUUGAGGCCAGCCUGAACUACACUGACUGUCUCAAAAAAAAAAGAAAAUGAAAUUUUAAUAUUAGGUUCUCUUAAAAAUCAUGGCAUAUAGUUAAUUCCAUCCUGAUUCAGUUGUGUGAAGGUUGAAAACGAUUGCUGAUUAGUUGCUGUAAUUCUGAUGAUCUUCCAUCAAAAUGUUGACAAUUGUCAAUUUUCUUAGAGUGAAAUCUGGAACUCUUGUGUGCUCUGUGUACCCCAGGGGUAAGGAUUAAAAGAUAGGAAAAGUACCUGUAUGAUAGUAGCCAUCAACAGCUCUUUUCCUCACUACCUAGGGAAACAAUAUACUCGUGUUUUUGCAUUAUACUGAUAACUGCACCAGAGAGGAAAGUAGUGAUUUUUGAAUGACAACCAACCAAUACCUUGUUGGGCAUCACGUGGUCUAUGAUAAGAGCACACAUCUGCUUGGUACAAUGUACUUGAAAGGUUUUUUUUUUUUUCAAUACCACUAUGGUAUUACUGCAGAUAUGGACGCAUCAAACAGCUUAAAUCUUAAACCCUAAGUGUGAACACACUAGCUAGUAAUUGGCGAUUGUGAUAAUAGAUUUAUGCUUGUCACUUGCAACUGACCCUUGAAAUACCCUUUAAUAGUACAUGAAAGCUAGAAAAGGGUUUGGGUUGCUAUUCAACAAGAAGCAAGGUAGUUCAUUUUCUUGUCCCCUUCCAGUAGCAAAGCAGUACUCACAUUUGCCACAGCUUAGGAAAUUCCCUGGGUUUCAGCCAACUUGCUCCCUAGAGUAAUGAGGCAAAAUGUUGCUCUGUUCUAGGAAUGCUGCUGUUUCACGAUCCACUGUAGCAAGAAAUACAUGCCACACAACACAGAAUGACACAGGAAUAACUUGAUAGCCACACUUCUGGGAGGUUUCAGACCUAAAUAGAUGCUGUCUGCCAGAAGGAAAUGGACUCACUGGAGCCUUUAGGCCUGUCCAUGGUUUGGCCCUUUGGUAGCUGAGUUUACUGGGCAUCCACUGACGAGGAGAACGUAAUAAAGACCUGGAAUAAUAGAAGGAUAAGCCUGUAAGUGAACAUGAGUUGGUGGAAAACUGAACUUUAAUACUGGGAAAUCAGUUGGUUGUGGGUGUAGCACAGUGGUAGAGUGGGUGCUUAGCAUACUUGAGGUCCUGGAUUUAAUCCCCAGCACAAAAAAAUGAGUGAAAAGUGGCUUUGCAACAUCCUUAUAAAUUUCAUGAUGUAUUUUUUUCUUUUUGGUUGCAUAAUUUAGUCAUAACAUUCCAUAGUGUGAUGCUCUAUAAUAACCUGUUCAUUCUCUUUUUCUCUACUUUUUGCUAUUUCUAACAAUACCUAAGUGAACAUCUGUACAUUACUCUCAGGCAUGUGUAGAUCUUUAGGAUAAACCUUGAAAGAGUCCAAAGAUAACUUGCAUUUCAUAUUCUGGCAGCUACGUAUUCAUAAACUAACCCACUCAAGAGGUAAUAUUUAUAUUGUGAAAUAUUUUAAUGAUUUUAUAAUGAAUCAGUUUUUACUGGUUAUUCUUUGGCUCCAUGGGGAAAAAGAUUUGAAUUUUAAGAGAAGGCUGAAAUACUGUCGUUUGUCCAGAGCUACCUGAUCACGAAACACAGAACUGAAAGAUGGUUGGGCUAGCUACUAUUUCUCUAAAAGGUUACUACAGUAUCUAAAUGUUUGAUCCCUUAUGUGAGAAUGAGGAGCUUCCUUCACAUUUUGGCAUCCUCUAUCUUAAGUGGAAGUUUCUGGUCAUUUUUCAAUUUCGGGAGGACCUUUUCUAACAGAGAUUGUGUGUCAUUCUUACAGAAGCUAUGUCCACAUUUUGGAAAAGAAUUUUUUAACAAAGUUUAGCCAAAGGAUGAGAAAUCAAGCUGUGUGUGUGCGCGCGCUCACUGAAGUCCAGGCAUUAGGAGACAGGUUAUUUGGAGAGGUGGACUGGAUCCUGCACUGUGGCCUUAAACAUGUGCUAGGGAUUGAAUCCAAAGUCUUGUGCAUGUUAGGCCAGGACUCUACCAGUGAACUACAUCCUCAGCCCCUAACCAUUUUAUGGUGAGCAAUUCAGUGGCAUUUACUACAUUCAUAAUGUUCUGAAACCACCACCUCUGGUUCCAAAAUAUUUGUAUCAUUUCAAAAGAAAACCCUGUACCCAGUCCUUGAUCUAGUCUGGAAAUUUCAUAUAAACAGAAUCAUACAAUAAGUGAUUUUUAUAUCUAUCUUCUUUUCGUUGUUCAACCAUAUUGUAGCGGUACUACUUUCCAUUUUAAGGCUGAAUAAUAUUCCAUUUUAUGUAUGUAGCAUAAUUCCUUUAUCCAUUCUUCCAUUGAUAAACACAAAUUAUUUCCACCUUUUGGCUGUUGUGAAUAGUGCUGUUAUGAACAUGCAUAGACGUGUAUUUGCUUGAGUCUCUGCUUGCAGUUCUUUGGGUAUAAUAUUUAAGAGUGACCUCCUGGAUCAUAUGGUAAUUCUUAUGGCUUGUGUCUAGAUGUUCCCCUCAAAGCCCCAUGCAGUCGUAGGUGGGGCUUUUUCUGAGGUGGAUAAAUCUAUAGCAUAUGAUACUGGGAUUAAGGGUGUGUGAUUACUAAACCACAUGAGUGAUUGAUUUGGCACCGCCCAAAUCCCAAUAAACUGGAUGGGGUAAAAGGGGGCAGAAAGACCCUGUUAAAGUCUCUUGCUUUUUCUGUCUUCUGCUGCCAUGAACUGUUGCCCCUCUGCCACUCUGCCUUGGAGCCAGUAAAUUAUGGACUGAAACCUCUACGAACUGUAAGCCAAAUAAACCUUUUCCCUCUUUAACUUGAGUGUCUGGUAUUUUGUCUCAGCAAUGAUAGAAAAGUAACUAACACAGUGAUUCUGUGUUUAACUUCUUGAGGAACCAUCAAACUGUUUUUUGUUUGUUUGUUUU